rnacentral:lncRNA from 1 species
CUCCUAAUUCUGCCCACCGUAGUGGUUGCCACAAAUCAGCGGCACUGCCUAUGGCAGAGACUGGAUUUGUUUCAAAGAGCUUCCUCUUCAAGAGGACCUACGGUCAGCUCUCCACCCAGCAGGGCUGCUCAGCCCUACGUCCCGUGGCACACGUGGGUUAGUUGUGGAAAGGAGAACAGACCCCAAGCAGAGCAGACCCCUCUCCAGAGAGCUUUUCUGCACGCCUUGUCUCUGCUCACAUCACCUGGCCUUCCACAUCAAGCAGAAAAUACUUCAGCCGCAGUGAUCAAAAACAUUCCCUUUCCUGCCCCACCGGGGGAAUGUGGCUCCCAAAGCCUGCUGGGAUCUGCUUCUGUCCCUGCAACAGGGACUGCUGUAAUUUUAGACCCUCGCUGUCCUGAACCAGAAACAGCCAGAAGGACAAGUUUUGAGAGGCUUUAACCAACCCAGAACAAAGCUCUCAGCUGGAAAACUCUUCCUUAAGUACUUGGCACACUUUCUUGCUGUGAGACAUCCCCAGCAUCAGGUAGAGGGCAGAUCUUGUCGUCUGCUGAGCCCAGAUAAGCUGGCUUCAGCCUGCCAGGUAGUCCAGAACAAAUUCCCCUUCCUCUUAUUUCCCUCCAAAAAUUACUGUUUUCUGCAGCAUUAUCACGGGGUCCCCCUUCUGUCCCUGCUUCCCCCUUUAUCAGCCCUCACCCUCACUGAUGUUUACUGUAGGUCCUAUACGACCAGGUGCUGAUGUACUCCUGCUCUCCUAUAAAGACAACAUCUCUCUCAACUCCCUGAGAGAACGAGAGCGGGCAUUUAACUCGUGUACGUUUCAGCUGACCGGUUUUGACAGUGCAAUCUUGGAAAGAUAAAGGAACAGGAAAGCUGACAUUAACUCCUAAGCAGAUAUCUGUAAUGCAACAAGGCGAGUUGCUGGGGAGCGAACGUGUGGAGGGCUCUGGGUUAGGGAGAAGAAAAGCAGGGCUAUGGACAACAGAAGCCCCACAGAAGAGAUCUGUGGCUAAGGAGCAUGAUUGACACCGAGGAUGGUAAAUUAACAGGUCGCCUCAUGGCCCCUUGCUCCCUCAAGGCUAACCUCACCAAGCUGGGCCUCCACAGCCAGCACUGUCAUCAGGGACUCAAAUUUUCUUACUGGCACAGCAAACUGGAGGGCCAGACAGCUUGGGUUUGCCUUUGACAUAAAAAUAAUAGAAGUAGCAUUAAGCAUAUGACAGUUACAAGAAGUCAGUGACAGCAAUUUGAAGAAUUUGUGCCCCUGAAAGACGCAGCGAGAUGUCUGGCAGCUGGAGGCCUGGCGGUUGAGAUGAUGCAGACACAAGGCCGGGACCUGUAAUCCCAAGCAGCCGGGCUACUUUAUUUUGCUUAUUCGCAUAAAUACUUGUGAAAUCUACAGGAGAUCUAUGGAUUCUUUAGCUGAUAAUAUCUCCUUCCUGGCCUCCUUCAUCUCUCUACUCGCGGAAAGGAAAAAUGUCCUAAAUUUCCUGAUUGGGUUUCAGACACUUCUGACUGCCAGUGUACUGUGGGGCUGUGGCUCUCAGAGUAUGUGCCCAGUGCCCAGUAUCAUUUUCAUGAUAAUGAGUUAAUUUUUGUCCAGACAUCAUGAGUGUGCUUGCCCAUUCUCCUUCCCAAAGAAUUUCAUUAUUAUUAUUAUUAUUUUUAAUGCUCAUGUCCUUUGAAAGUGGGUUAAAUCUUCUACUAUUAAUGACAUAGCAUUUUGAAAUUGUAUUUGAACAGUGAAGAGGGGACCAACAUUGACAGAGGUAGCCAAACUGGAGAUUAGUGGAGAAAAACAAACAAAAAAACAAGUACUAAAACUGGGAUUUCUGUUGAAUCCAACUUAGAUCGGUUCAAAAUAUCCUAACAAUGAGAGACUGAACCACUGCUUGGAAAAGACUGAUUUUCAGAGCCCACCACUGCCUUCUUCAGAGCUAGCAACAUAAAAUAGAGACCCCAAGAGGACUGAGGAAUCAGUAAUAGCAGCAAGAAGGGGAGCUGAAAAAAAAAACACAAGGGUACCAGACAUCCUGAUAAGGAUUUCCACUUGUUUUCGCCAUGGUAAUUUGGUUAGAGAGAGGAACAAGGCCCCAAGCAGAGCUGAGGAGGACAGUUUAGAAUAAAUCACAUUCCUGAAUAUGUAGUGAUUGUAAG